AGAGAGACGCCAUACUGUUCCACUCAAAGAUGAGAUGUAAUCUCUAGCGUUUGGAGCUGUGAUUCUUCAGGACAAGAUGCCAUUCACACUUGAUACAUGAAGAUGGAUCUCAGGGAUCCCCAGUUGAAGGCAUCAGGACAUCAGAUGUUGGCCUGGACAGAUGUACCAACAGUACACCACAAAGACC